AACGAACGCUGGCGGCAUGCCUAACACAUGCAAGUCGAACGAGACGUUCCGGCUUAGUGGCGGAGGGGUGGUUGCCAACGGGGGACUUGCCCUUAGGUUAGCAGUCACUGCCUGAAGGGUGACUUAAUACAGGUUGAUGUAUUAGGGGCAAGGAGUUCUCGCGUUAGGAUGGGGGCGGGUAGGUUUAGGUGGUUGGUAGGGGACAAGCCUACCAUCGCGACGAUCCAUAGCUGGUGUGGGAGGAUGAUCAUCCACACUAGGGAUGCGGCACGGCCUACAACCCUACGGGAGGCAGCAGUGGGUAAUAUUGGACAAUGGGCGAAAGUCUGGUCCAGCAAUGCCGCGUGAGUGAUGAAGGCCUUAGUGUUGUAAAGCUCUUUUUCCCGGGAUGAUAAUGACAGUACCGGGAGAAUAAGCUCCGGCUAACUCCGUG
rnacentral:rRNA from 1 species